AUGACUGCCCUGCCUUAUUACCGCGAGGCUGUGAGGCGUUCACGGUUUCCCCGAAGUCAUGUGAUUUGGAGUUUCCCCGAUGCGACGUUUAACUUCAAGGUUAUUUGGAGGCUUGUUUGUACCCGAACGCACACACCUGAGGAGCGCGCACGGAGUCGAGAGGGUAGUGGUCGCACUGAACGGGCUCUGUGGCAAAAUGAGAAUCCAGCUGAAAGUGCAUUCACCCACAGGACAGGAGAGGAUCAUCGACCUGUGCGACAGCGAGGCGCAGCUGAGGAAGAUCACCGUGAUGCAGCUGAAAGACAAACUGACUCGGGAGCUAAUGAUAAAGGAAGACAUCCGGAUAAUCUUCAGAACCGGGUGGCUGGAGGAAACAUCCCUGCUGUCCUCCUACGGCAUCCGACACAUGUCCACCAUCCAAACUGUGCUGAAGUUACACGGAGGCCUCUGAUGUGGACCGGACGCAGGAGGAAAACAACCCACACACUCUGGACACUGGUCACUGCUAGACCAAUAAUGUUAUGAGAUAUAAAGAAAAAGAACUGAACCGUUAAAACAAAUAAUAUGUUAUCGGACUUAAAGGUGUUCUCAUCUCACAGCUCAGUGUCUCUAAAUGCUUAAUUAAGUGUGUUCAGAGGGGUACUAUAGCAACUCCAUAUUUGAGUCACAUUAAAGGGGCACUAUGUGGUUUUGGGAAGAGAAAGAUCUUCAUCGACCGAUUUUUGACCCUAAAGGACAACACUCGUACUGUUUUACUUUGUUUCUGUGUGGUGGACCCUGCCACCUUUCUACUUUCAAACAGUGUUCUUGGACCUUAUUUACCUCUGAGAACAGCUUGUUUAUUAGUUAUGGGAAAAAUUUAUGUUUUUGAGGUUGUAUUAUUACCUCUUUAAUACUGUAAAAUGUUAAAUAAAAAAAAAAAUGCAUGGAGUGCUGCUUGGGUGUGGGAAAAAAAGGGGCGGCUGUCAGAGGGUAGAGCGGGUCGUCCAGUGAUCGGAAGAUCACCAGUUCGAAUCCCGGUUCCCCCUAGCUGCAUGCCAAAGUGUCCUUGAGCAAGAUACUGAACCCCAAACCUCCUGAUGAGCAGUUGGCGCCUUGCAUGGCAGCCUCCGUCAUCAGUGUAUGAAUGGGUGGCAUGUAUUGUAGAGCACUUUUGAGUUGUUGUUGCGCUGGAAAAGCGCUAUAAAAAUGCAGACCAUUUACCAUCUGGUGCUCUUCAGGUUAGGGAUCCAAGUAGAACUUAUAAGAGAAGAUCAUUAUACUCAAGAGGAUAAUGAUUUAAAAAGCCUUUAUUAGUACAUGGCUAGUCUUACAACAACAUGCUAACGCGGCUUUUUAAAUCAUUAUCCUCUUAUGCCUCUAGUGCCUCAAAUCUUCCAUUAUAAUUAUCUACUGUAAAUUCUUAGUUCUUAGUUUCCUAGUGCCCCUUUAACCAUGAUUUGGAACUGAUCAAAUAUCCUUCCAAUGUUACCUUACUGGUCAUUAAAUGUGAUUAAAGAACAUUUUAUUUCUGAAUAAUCCAAAUAGCCAGGCCAAGUAACAGCCUACUUAUGGGAUAAUUAGUUGCGUGACCUAGAUACUUAUCAUGACUCACCUCUUGGCUGAUGGACAGCUUCUUUAAAAAACAGUUUUGACAAAAGAAUAAAAACUCCCUCAGCUCUUUGUCACCCAUAAAAAGACGAUAGUAGGCCUACUUUUUAAAAAGAAAAUAUAGUACAUUUCUCAAAUUAGCUGUCUUUACGGUUUAGAAGGCUACAUUUGCUUGCCUGCUUGCUCAGGACCUGACAUGAAGAGGUUGUUGUAUAAUCACUUCAGUUGCUGGAUUUGUCGUCACUGAAUUAUUUCAACGAUUUGGCUUGUUGGGGAAACUUCCUGGAACACAAGAGAGGGGGAAAACCUGCAGCUUCAGUGUCGUCUGAUGGCAAUCAGACAAGUAUCGGAUGUGAGGAGAGCAUUAAUAAAGUUUGUGUGCUAUGUUAAAGAGAUGAUAAUACAGCAUGUGGAUAGAAUUAGGCGUGCAGCAAAUGCAGUGAACUGAGCACGAACAACUCCUCUGUCAAAUAAAAUCACCCCAAGCAACAUGUGUGUCAUCAUUCCUGCCAGUCAGGUGGUUCUUCUUCCUUGACAUGAAUCUGGCGGAUGCUUCAUUGUAACUGGGUGUGUCAGUCACCAUGUUUACUUGCACAGAUGACUGAGACAUCUUGAAUGACUUGGUUUAUAGAUUUACAGUGAACACCAUGACAUCCACCAUAUUAGCUGCUAAAAAUGGUCCUAACAAAGACUGUGAAGUUAAUUAUGAGUGAGUGAGUGAGCAAGUGAGAAACACUGAACUGAAGCUAAGAGAGUUUUGUCCAGGAGACGAGCUACUGCACAUACCUGAAUGUGGUUGGACUACAUUCUGUCAACAGGUGUAUAAAAAGGGAACAAGGAUGUGUUUUUGAUUUACUGAAAAUGACUGGAAUGAAAAAAAAGAACAACAACAACCACAGGAAUGUAGCUGUUCUUCAUUCUGGUGGUUGAUGGGAAAAGAGUCGCAGAGCAUGACCUCACUCUGACGUUCCCUCCCGAGCCAAUAGGAGGCUCUCAUUGUCUCUCACAGAAAAUCUGCACCGGGUAGGCUAACACCUAAUUCCCUUUUCUUCUUUACCAGCACAGAAGACACUUUCUUCGGUAGCUACAUUUAAAUGUUGAUCCUCGGAUCCUCUGAAUGAAGCAGGUUUAACUACAUAUUUUUAUUGGCAAGGCUGUUAGUGAGCUCAAGACACAGAGGAAGCCACAUCCUCCACUGAACCUGACUGAUUUCUCUGACGACCAGCCGCCUGUAAGUAUAACCAGAGUCUUCUCUUUAUUUUUUCACAGCUGAAGUAUCCCCAGUCCUGCUGUUUUAAAGUCGUUCAAUU
ensembl:lncRNA